UGCCUCUGUGGAUGCCCUGUGAUGCU
rnacentral:piRNA from 1 species